AACUGGGUCUAAUACCGGAUAGGAGCGCCUGUCGCAUGACGGGUGUUGGAAAGAUUUUUCGGUCAUGGAUGGACUCGCGGCCUAUCAGCUUGUUGGUGAGGUAAUGGCUCACCAAGGCGACGACGGGUAGCCGGCCUGAGAGGGUGACCGGCCACACUGGGACUGAGACACGGCCCAGACUCCUACGGGAGGCAGCAGUGGGGAAUAUUGCACAAUGGGCGGAAGCCUGAUGCAGCGACGCCGCGUGAGGGAUGACGGCCUUCGGGUUGUAAACCUCUUUCAGUAGGGAAGAAGCGAAAGUGACGGUACCUGCAGAAGAAGCACCGGCUAACUACGUGCCAGCAGCCGCGGUAAUACGUAGGGUGCGAGCGUUAUCCGGAAUUAUUGGGCGUAAAGAGCUCGUAGGCGGUUUGUCGCGUCUGUCGUGAAAGUCCGGGGCUUAACCCCGGAUCUGCGGUGGGUACGGGCAGACUAGAGUGCAGUAGGGGAGACUGGAAUUCCUGGUGUAGCGGUGGAAUGCGCAGA
rnacentral:rRNA from 1 species